CAACCUCAACUCAUAUGGGACUACCCCCUGAAUUUAAGCAUAUUAAUUAGGGGAGGAAAAGAAACUAACAAGGAUUUUCUUAGUAGCGGCGAGCGAAAAGAAAUCAGUUCAGCACUAAGUCACUUUGUCUAUAUGGCAAAUGUGAGAUGCAGUGUACGGAACAUCAACAUUCUAGUAUGAGAAGUUAACGAUUUAAGUCCUUCUUAAAUGAGGCCAUUUACCCAUAGAGGGUGCCAGGCCCGUAUAACGUUAAUGAUUACUAGAUGGUGUUUCCAAAGAGUCGUGUUGCUUGAUAGUGCAGCACUAAGUGGGUGGUAAACUCCAUCUAAAACUAAAUAUAACCAUGAGACCGAUAGUAAACAAGUACCGUGAGGGAAAGUUGAAAAGAACUCUGAAUAGAGAGUUAAAUAGUACGUGAAACUGCUUAGAGGUUAAGCCCGAUGAACCUGAAUAUCCGUUAUGGAAAAUUCAUCAUUAGAAUUGUAAUAUUUUAAACAAUAUUAUAAUAAUAGUGUGCAUUUUUUCCAUAUAAGGACAUUGUAAUCUAUUAGCAUAAAUAUUUAUCAUAAAAUUAUGUCUGAUUGCUUAUUUGAAUUAUAUGCUUGGCAUUUUAACAUAAAAUAAAAGAUAUAAAUUUGAUAAAGUGCUGAUAGAUUUAUAUGAUUAC
rnacentral:ncRNA from 1 species